rnacentral:rRNA from 2 species
AGAGUUUGAUCAUGGCUCAGAUUGAACGCUGGCGGCAGGCUUAACACAUGCAAGUCGAGCGGAGUGAUGGUGCUUGCACUAUCACUUAGCGGCGGACGGGUGAGUAAUGCUUAGGAAUCUGCCAUUUAGUGGGGGACAACAUUCCGAAAGGAAUGCUAAUACCGCAUACGUCCUACGGGAGAAAGCAGGGGAUCUUCGGACCUUGCGCUAAAUGAUGAGCCUAAGUCGGAUUAGCUAGUUGGUGGGGUAAAGGCCUACCAAGGCGACGAUCUGUAGCGGGUCUGAGAGGAUGAUCCGCCACACUGGGACUGAGACACGGCCCAGACUCCUACGGGAGGCAGCAGUGGGGAAUAUUGGACAAUGGGCGAAAGCCUGAUCCAGCCAUGCCGCGUGUGUGAAGAAGGCCUUUUGGUUGUAAAGCACUUUAAGCGAGGAGGAGGCUACUAGUACUAAUACUACUGGAUAGUGGACGUUACUCGCAGAAUAAGCACCGGCUAACUCUGUGCCAGCAGCCGCGGUAAUACAGAGGGUGCGAGCGUUAAUCGGAUUUACUGGGCGUAAAGCGUGCGUAGGCGGCUGAUUAAGUCGGAUGUGAAAUCCCUGAGCUUAACUUAGGAAUUGCAUUCGAUACUGGUCAGCUAGAGUAUGGGAGAGGAUGGUAGAAUUCCAGGUGUAGCGGUGAAAUGCGUAGAGAUCUGGAGGAAUACCGAUGGCGAAGGCAGCCAUCUGGCCUAAUACUGACGCUGAGGUACGAAAGCAUGGGGAGCAAACAGGAUUAGAUACCCUGGUAGUCCAUGCCGUAAACGAUGUCUACUAGCCGUUGGGGCCUUUGAGGCUUUAGUGGCGCAGCUAACGCGAUAAGUAGACCGCCUGGGGAGUACGGUCGCAAGACUAAAACUCAAAUGAAUUGACGGGGGCCCGCACAAGCGGUGGAGCAUGUGGUUUAAUUCGAUGCAACGCGAAGAACCUUACCUGGUCUUGACAUAGUAAGAACUUUCCAGAGAUGGAUUGGUGCCUUCGGGAACUUACAUACAGGUGCUGCAUGGCUGUCGUCAGCUCGUGUCGUGAGAUGUUGGGUUAAGUCCCGCAACGAGCGCAACCCUUUUCCUUAUUUGCCAGC